UUUAAUUUAUUUGUGUUUUCAUUUCCAAACCCUGCGUCACAACAGGCCUCAAACAUCAGCAAUGGCCACAAGACACCACUGGCAGCUCACCAGUAAGAAAGAUCACCUGUCCAGAUGUGGACCUCAGCCGUGGCGUUUCUUGUCAACUGCCAGCUCACCUGCCCCCGACACCGGACAUACAUGUCUCCAUGUCUGCCAGUGACCUGUUGAGGGGCCCGCAGAUUUUCUGUGUGCACUUCCUGUGUGCUUCUACCUCUCUGCUCAGGCAGCAGAGAGAAAGAUACAGAGAGAGUACAAGUAGAGCAGCAGGCGGACAGUGAGGGAGAAGCAGGCUCCCAAGGAGCAGGGAGCCUGAUGCGAGGCUCCAUCCCAGCACCCUGGGAUCAUGACCUGAGCUGACAGCGGCCACAAAACUGAGCCCCCCAGGCACCAUGAGAACCCUGUCUUUAACUUCACCUGCUACUACAUACUCUGGAAGGUAUUGUCAAAAUGUUUUUUCUGUUUAACACUAGAUAACUACUGAGGUGUUGAAUGAGUUUUGUAGAGCUAAAUCAUAAAAUUUAAUGUAUUUGUGUUUUCAUUUCCAAAGCCUGCAUCACAACAGGCCUCAGACAUCAGCAAUGGCCACAAGACACCACUGGCAGCUCACCAGUAAGAAAGAUCACCUGUCCAGGUAAAACUCUGAGACCCAGGAAAUGAUGGAGAGAAACUCCUCCAAUCCUAAAGGAUUCCUGUUAUU
rnacentral:lncRNA from 1 species